rnacentral:rRNA from 1 species
UACGUAGGAUGCAAGCGUUGUCCGGAUUUAUUGGGUUUAAAGGGUGCGUAUGCCGCCUAUUAAGGUAGUGGUGAAAACGAUUGUCUUAACGUUAUUCCUGCCAUUGAUACUGAUAGACUUGAGUGCGACAGAGGUUGUUGGAAUGUGUGGUGUAGCGGUGAAAUGCUUAGAUAUCACGCAGAACACCAAUUGCGAAGGCAGAUGACUAUGUCGUAACUGACGCUGAGGCACGAAAGCGUGGGGAGCAAACAGG